AGAGUUUGAUCCUGGGUCAGGACGAACGCUGGCGGCGUGCUUAACACAUGCAAGUCGAACGAUGAAGCAGGGCUUGCUCUGCCGAUUAGUGGCGAACGGGUGAGGAACACGUGAGAAACCUGCCCCAGACUCUGGGAUAACAAUUAGAAAUGAUUGCUAAUACCGGAUGACGUCGGAGAACCGCAUGGUUCACUGACGAAAGGAAAUCCGGUUUGGGAGGGUCUCGCGACCUAUCAGCUUGUUGGCGGGGUAAUGGCCCACCAAGGCAUCGACGGGUAGCUGGUCUGAGAGGAUGAUCAGCCACACUGGGACUGAGACACGGCCCAGACUCCUACGGGAGGCAGCAGUGGGGAAUCUUGCGCAAUGGGCGAAAGCCUGACGCAGCAACGCCGCGUGCGGGAUGAAGGCCUUCGGGCUGUAAACCGCUUUCAGCAGGAACGAAAAUGACGGUACCUGCAGAAGAAGGAGCGGCCAACUACGUGCCAGCAGCCGCGGUGACACGUAGGCUCCAAGCGUUGUCCGGAUUUAUUGGGCGUAAAGAGCUCGUAGGCGGUUUAGUAAGUCGGGUGUGAAAACUCUGGGCUUAACCCAGAGACGCCAUCCGAUACUGCUGUGACUUGAGUUCAGGAGGGGAGCGGGGAAUUCCUAGUGUAGCGGUGAAAUGCGCAGAUAUUAGGAGGAACACCGGUGGCGAAGGCGCCGCUCUGGACUGAAACUGACGCUGAGGAGCGAAAGCAUGGGUAGCAAACAGGAUUAGAUACCCUGGUAGUCC
rnacentral:rRNA from 1 species